GGGGCGGUAGCUCAAUUGGUUAGAGUACCGGCCUGUCGAGCCGGAUGUUGCGGGUUCGAGUCCCGUCCCGCCUCG
rnacentral:tRNA from 1 species